AUUUUCAAGGCAGAGGAAGGAAAUAAAUACUACUUGCUGGGUUUUGCUACUGAAGUGAUAUAAUUUACAUAACAGCAAAAUUACAACCUAGAAUCCUAAGUAGCAAUUAUAAUGUUAAAGAAUAAGACAAAAUUUUAUUCUUAAACCAAUAACAAAAAUGAAGAGUGGGAAAUGUUGGUAAACUUCACACAAAAUUUAAAUACCGAUUUAAUCUCAUUGCUUACAGGGCGGGGGGAACUGAAAAACACAGGCAUUCUUUGGACCUAAAAUUAAAAUAGAGGUGAACUCUCACAGGCCAUAAAUUCAAUUCUAAAAGCCCCAAAGCAGGAGAAUAGAUGUGGAAGUGACCCCAAAACUCACAAGACUGAGGUGGCAAAUUAACUGUCUAAGCCUAAUGAUAGUUAUGGGCCUCCUAGAAACAAACAGAAAAGCGAAUUAGGAAUUCUCCUCUUGUCCUUAAAGACAAUCCUACUUUUGGCAGUGGGUUAAGGAUCUGGCAUUGCUGCAGCCGUGACAUAGGUCGCAGCUGUGGCUUGGGUUCAAUCCCUGGCCUGGGACCUUCCACCUGCCAUGGGUGCAGCCGGAAAAUAAAGGGAAAAAAAAAAAAAAAGAUAAUUCUGCUCUUGUUCUCUUGGACACACUCAGUGAGGUUUUAUGAUCUUCCCAUGUGCUCUAAGGCUCACCCACCACGUUUUAAGUUUAGGUAAGUUCAUAGGAAGCAAAUUUUGGUCCUAAAAAAAGUGAACCUGGCCCUUCAUUCCAGAUACAAUAAUCGAAGAAAGUCUUGGAUUUGGGGACCAGUUUAAUGCCCAACACCAUAAAAUAUGCCUUGAAGGUGGCCUGGGAUGAUUUGAGUUCCUGUGCUUGGUGAUUCAGGUGGGACAUGGCCAUGGCCAUGGCAUUCAGUAGCCCUAACAGGGUUCACCUUCACUCUGCCUGAUUAUAUUAAGGAAAAAAGUCUCUGUUCAUUCUUAACGACGGUCCAGACUCACUGAUUCCUCCUAUUUAACAAAGAGAAGAAGGCCUCAGGUGCUGAGCCCUUGGGAGACGAGCGGGCCUGACGAGCAUUUAACUUUUUCGCACUCAUUUGCACCAUUUCCUUCUGUUUCAGAUAACUGAGUUCUCCACUCUGAAUAGUGAUAACUAAAAUUCCCUUUUAACGUAAAUGUGUAUUAAGUAAAAGAACAUGGGUUAAACUGUUGUAUGUGUGGUAGGUAAACCAUUGGAUACCCAGACAUGCCAAGAAUUGUGAUGGUGCUGCAGGAAUGAUGAAUUCUGGGAAACUCUGGAUGAGAGAACCUUUCUCUCCCUUUGUCUUCUGCCAUCCUUUUUUUAUCCUUUAGGGGAGAACUACAGUUAGUUGAGACCCAAAGAGUGAAAAUGAGAUCUCCAACUAUUGGAGUUCUCUUGUGGCAUGGCAGGUGAAGGAUCCAGCGUUGUCACUGCAGAGGCUUGGGUUGCUGCAGGUUCAGUCCCUGGCCUGGCCUGGGAACUUCCACAUGCUGUGAUCAUAGCAAAAAAAAAAAAAAAAAAGAAUCCAACUCUUUGCAAAGCUGGGGUUUGUACACCUGUGGGGAUUUGCCCAAGGAAAAGGAAGUGGCCCACAAGGCUAUUAGCAUCUUGAGAGUUCCCUGGUGGCCUAGUGAGUUAAGGAUCCAGUGUUGUCACUGCUGUGGCUCGGGUUCAAUCCCUGGCCCAGGAACUGCAGGUAUAGCAAAAAAAAAAAAAGGGCUAUUAGCAUCUUAUUUUUUUAAGGUUCUUACUCUGCAAAAUGCUUUUCCUAUUCGUGAGCUCAUUUAUCCAUUGCUCUCUAAGAAGCUUGGGAUGGUUCCUGUUGGUUUUACUCCCUGACUUUCAGCCCUUUUCUUUCAGAGAGGAAUGCGGUAAGGGAGUGCCCAGCAUAAUCCACCCUGAGUUGCUACUUAAGUGAAUUAAAUGGCACGUUAAUUAAGUGUUUUAUUUUUUAUGUUACUUAUUUAACUUAUUAUAAAUGUUGUCCAUGGUUGUAGAAGAAAAUGAGAAACACACAGAAAAGUAAAAUGGAAAAAUCACCUGAAAUCCUCCCACUCAACAAUAGCAACACCUUAGUGCCCAUCCAGGUAGGAGUUUAUUUAAGCAGUAAUCGGGGAUGAUUAAAAAAAAACGGAGUCCUCAGAAAAUCAGAGUCCUCUGUGAACGCCGAUGACCAUGAAUCUUUUUACCUUGAGCUUCUAGAGUAUGGAAGCUCAACUCAAGAUGCCUUUUGAGAACUAUAAAAGGACAAAUUCUUUUAAGGUUGAGUUAUCUAGAUGUGAAGGUCUUUAAUCAUGGUGUCAGAUAAACCUACCUGGUUUUAACUUGAGUAUCACCUGGUUGGUGAAAUAUACACUCACAUGGAAAGAUAACAUUAUGUUCACCUGGAUGAAUUUGUCAGACUUUCCUCUCCUGACCUAUUUUUUUAGGUUGUACUUUUAGUUGCAUAAUUGAAAGGUUACUUAUAAGCUGGAAAAACAGGUUUGAUGUAGUUCAGAAGAGUGACGACUGACCACUUGGAAAGCAUUCUUCUUGUUUCCAGUAUGGGGCAAUACUUGUCAGACUAGUAGCACGAGUUAGAUUUUUCUUAAAAAUCUGCAAUCAGUAAGUUUGAUUGUGAUGGUGUACGGGGGCGGGGAGAGGUAUCGUAAAAUAAUGUAGAGAUGGUGAAAUGUGGGCAUAAUUUUAAAUUUCUAUUUAAAGCUAUAUUACCUUCAACAAACUAUGGGUAAAAUAUAUAGGAUUGUCAUCCUAAAGUAUUAAAUGACAAGACGUGGGACCAAUAAUGAUAUAGUUUUCUAUUUUUUUUUACUUAGAAAAUGAAAAACAUGGCCUAUUGAAUUUCACUGUCUAUGAAACAAUUCUGGUUUUUUAUAAUCAUGUAUAGUCUUUUUUUUUCAAGUGUAUGUUUUUCUCAAUUAGAAUCCCUGAAUCUUGCAGUUACGUUUCUGACUUUUUCUUGUAAUAUUUUCCCUGAUAUAAAAACAUCUUAUACUCAUUAUAGGAAAACUAAAAAAUACAGAACAUUUAAACUUACAAUGAAGAAAAUUAAAAUUACUCACAUGACUCGGAGAUAAUUUCUAUUAACAUUUUUGGGGAUAUUUCUUUCUUUUUUGCUUUUUGCUUUUCUUUUCUUUUUUUUUUUUUUUUUUUUUUUGCUUUUUUUAGGGCCACACAGGCUAGGGGUCAAAUUGGAGCUACAGCUGCUGGCCUACUUACAACCGCAGCAAUGCCAGAUCCGAACCUCGUCUGCGACCUGCACCACAGGUCACGGCAACGCCGGAUCCUUAACCCAUUGAUCGAGGCCAGGGAUCGAACUGCAACCUCAUGGUUCCUAGUCAGGUUUGUUUCUGCUACGCCACACAGAACUCCCAGGAUAUUUCUUUCUAAUGUUAUAUGUAGAUGUUUUAUAUAUAUUAUAUAUAUAUGUGCUUUAUAUAUACACACAAAUAUGUUUUUCUGUGUUUCUACAAAAUGAAGAUCAUAUCAUGUCAGUUAUUAUUAUAUUAUAAUCACUUUUCCAUGUUGCUGCAAAGUCUUAAUUCUCACUUGUAGACACUGGGUGUGAUUUUAUUGGACAGUAAAGGUACCCAAGCUCAUUUCAUUAUCGUUCCGUUGUUGGAUAUUGUAAGGUUUCCUUUGAUUUGGGGUAGAC
rnacentral:lncRNA from 1 species